rnacentral:rRNA from 1 species
UACUGCCUACGGGAGGCAGCAGUGGGGAAUAUUGCACAAUGGGCGAAAGCCUGAUGCAGCAACGCCGCGUGAAGGAAGAAGGUCCUCGGAUCGUAAACUUCUGUCCUUGGGGAAGAUAAUGACGGUACCCUUGGAGGAAGGCCCGACUAACUACGUGCCAGCAGCCGCGGUAAUACGUAGGGGGCAAGCGUUAUCCGGAAUUAUUGGGCGUAAAGAGUGCGUAGGUGGUUACUUAAGCGCGGGGCUUAAGGCAAUGGCUCAACCAUUGUUCGCCCUGCGAACUGGGUUACUUGAGUGCAGGAGAG